AAUGAACGCUGGCGGCGUGCCUAACACAUGCAAGUCGAGCGGGAAAGUCCUUCGGGAUGAGUACAGCGGCAGACGGGUGAGAAACGCGUGAGAAUUUACCAUUCAGUGAGGAAUACCCUCGAGAAAUCGAGGUUAAUACUGCAUACGUCCUACGGGAGAAAGGUGGCCUCUUGCUGCCGCUGAAUGAUUAGCUUGCGUACUAUUAGCUAGUUGGUAGGGUAAUGGCCUACCAAGGCGAUGAUGGUUAGCCGGCCUGAGAGGGUGUACGGCCACACUGGAACUUAGACACGAUCCAGACUCCGACGGGAGGAAGCAGUGGGGAAUAUUGGGCAAUGGGCGCAAGCCUGAUCCGGCCAUGCCGCGUGGAUGAUGAAGGCCCUAGGGUUGUAAAGUCCUUUCGGCGGGGAAGAUAAUGACGGUACCCGCAGAAGAAGCCCCGGCUAACUUCGUGCCAGCAGCAGCCGCGGUAA
rnacentral:rRNA from 1 species